rnacentral:misc_RNA from 1 species
AUUGUUGCUUUGCUUGGGAAGGUUUACGACGACAAUCUCAGCAGGAUGAUGUUUUGUUCUCAGUGUAUGAUCUAUUGUCGCCGUGUAUGCAGCCACAAUGAGAUCCUGCAGUAACUUGGUAGUAGAGUGUUUAUACCGGUCUUGAUUCUUUUCACGACGUGGGCUAUGAUAAAGAAGUGGUUAUGGAGAAGAUUGAAGGAAAGGCAGACAGUGCAGCUGUUGUUGUCCACAAGCUGCUUAGAUCACCAAAACCUGAACAGCUGUAUCUCAAAUAUGCUCAUGACAUACUUGGCGGGGUUGCACUUCUUGGAGUGUUUCAGAACCAUAAGCUUAGCAGGUUGAUGUUGGU